AAGACAAGAGAAAGGUGCAAAUUACUGAUGGCCCUAUAAAUAAAUCAGUUGCCUGUAUGAAAGAUGGUAAAGCCUUGAGCAGGUUCUGGGGAGAUGAAGACACUGAUGCUACUGACAUCAUAAUUGACCUAGAAACUGAUUCUGAAGUGAAUAAAGUCAAGUUUCCAGAUGCUACUAAGUACCUGAUCUCACCUUAUGAUGUGGUAAAGCAAACAAAAAAAGGCAGACCCAAGAAGCAAAAGAGUCCAACAGACAAAAAUGGAGGAUCGGAAAAUGAGUGCAUUCAAACCCGUGCUAAGAGUGACAUAUCUAAAGCUUAUAAAUCAUGAUGUGUAUGCCUUGGUUUAGGCUUU
rnacentral:lncRNA from 1 species